GAGUCAUUGGGACUCUGUUAAACCUAAAGGCGCAAUGAAAGUAAAGGUCCGCCUCGCGCGGACCGAGGGAGGAUGGGCCCGUCCCCGGGCGGGCCCCGCACUCCCGGGGCGUCUCGUUCUCAUCGCGAGAAGAGGCGCACCCAGAGCGUACACGCUGGGACCCGAAAGAUGGUGAACUAUGCCUGGUCAGGACGAAGUCAGGGGAAACCCUGAUGGAGGUCCGUAGCGAUUCUGACGUGCAAAUCGAUCGUCGGAACUGGGUAUAGG
rnacentral:rRNA from 5 species